rnacentral:pre_miRNA from 1 species
CAAAUACUCCCUCCGUCCGGAAAUACUUGUCAUCAAAAUGGAUAAAAGGAAAUGUAUCUAGACGUAUUUUAGUUUUAGAUACAUCUCUUUUUAUCCCUUUUGAUGACAAGUAUUUUCGGACGGAGGGAGUAUUUA